UCCUUCUUUCUCAUUCCUUCUACUCUGGAUACAUGGAUACGCAGAACAAGACUAAGAUUCCCGGCUUCUCUUUCAGCUGGAGGUAGCUCUGGUGACUACAUUCUGGCCAGUGAGCUGUCAGGGGAAGCGACGUGUGUGCAAUGCCCACUUGGGUCCCUAAAGCGGGGGGCGUGCCCUUCCCCCACCCCUUCCUCCACGCUGCAGCUUGGAAUUGUUAGGAAUGGUGGAAAAAGAACGCAAGCCUUGGUUUUCACUCUAGCCCUGGACUACCUACCUACAGCUGUAUAUCCCCUCACCUUCCCUUCCUCUCUUCUCUCCAACCCACUGGCCCCUUCCAAACAGCAGGCGGCAGGAGCAGGUGGCCAAGGGCCCAGAUGGCUCUCUUGUUCCCCCGUCCCUGUGAACCCGGUCCUGUCCUGAGGGUCCUGACCAGCUGGAGUCCCAGGUCCGAACUCUGCACAGGUGGGUGAUGGUGGCAGAAGAAGAGGGGGUAACAAGGGUGCUCUCUCCCCAAGGGCACCCCCAAACCACCAUGACCUCCGCCUCCCAGCCCUGCCUUCUGAGCUCCAGUGCCAGCCUCCUGUCCCCGCUCAGCCCUCGCAGGCAACAGAUGGUGCCUUGAAGACAAGCCCUGGGUCCGGGCCGGGCGCGGAUGUCAGCUGUGGCGGGGCUCCCCUUUCACCCUCCGGCAGGCGGCUGGGGCAGCCCCCGCUCUUCACCUGGCUCAGUCCGGCUUAGCAGAGCUAGCAGGGCUGAGGCCAAAGAAGCCACAUGCAGAGCGUUGGUGGCCCUUCGGGAGUGGAGGCCUGGCCUGCGGGAAGAGAGGUGGCCAAGGCCCCAGGUGGGUAGGAGAGCAGAGAGCAGCCAAAACGAGCCUCGCCCACAGCCGGGGAUGUGAGUGCGGGGCCUCCGCUGGGCUCAAGUCACGGGAAGCGCAGGAAGGGCACCCGUUUGCCUCUGGGCUGCUCCUGGCGAUGGUCGGGACACGCAGAAGGCCCCUCCCUGUGCUACCCCUUGGUUCCAGAUCCCCACCCGCCAAGCCAAGCUCCUUGAUCCGAGCCAGCCCUGGACAAGCGGCAAGGCUGGCAAUGACUUCACCUGACCACUCCCAGAUGGGUUACCGUCAGCGCGAUGUCCUGACAGUGUGAUGUCACGUCAGGAUUCUCGAAACACUUUCCAUCUGGAGUCAACACCAUCCUUGCAGCUGCUCUGAGGGCCGCACCCCACUGCCAGCCAAGGGAUGGGAUCAAGUGUCCUGGUGGAAGCCAAGCUUCGGGCAGGCUUAGGAAGAACAAAGUCAAGGCGGGAGCUGCUGAGGGAACAGGGAAGCCCUUGUGGGGCUCAAGUGCAGAAGCUCUGAGCCCGCAGGGGAGCAGGGAGAGGCCCAUAGAGGUCACAGCUGGGCCAAGAGCCCCGAGGCAGGGGCUCAAGGGGGAAAUCAGGGACCAAAGAAAGUUAUGUGAACAUAAAUGGAGCCUCUC